GACAGAGGGUGCAAACGUUGUUCGGAAUUACUGGGCAUAAAGCGCACGUAGGUGGUCCGCUAAGUCGCGUGUGAAAUCCCCCGGCUCAACCGGGGAAUUGCGCGUGAUACUGGCGGGCUAGAGAUCGGGAGGGGUGAGUGGAACUCCAGGUGGAGCGGUGAAAUGCGUAGAUAUCUGGAGGAACACCGGUGGCGAAAGCGACUCACUGGCCCGACACUGACACUGAGGUGCGAAAGCUAGGGUAGCAAACGGG
rnacentral:rRNA from 1 species